rfam:Ipomoea nil DNA, scaffold: scaffold3322, cultivar: Tokyo-kokei standard.
GUCUUCUUAGAUCAGUGGUAGAGCACGUGGCUUUUGAUAACGUGGUCGUGGGUUCGAUCCCCACAGACGGUG